UGAGGACCGGGUCCCAGAUGUAACUGCGGAAAUGACUGCCCAUUCCAAAGCUUUAGGAGGGAACACAGGGACCGCCGAACAGCUGAAAAGGCCCAUUCUUCAUUGAAUGGGCCCUGCAAGUUUGCCUGGCCAGGUGGACAACCAAGAAAAAUUUGCAAGCAGUCAAGACUUUGCCAACAGCCGUGCAAAAAUAGGAGCAUACCAUGGGUCAUCCUCAGUCAGUCUCAUCCUCCCCUGAAAGCAUGCUUCAGUAUCAGCAUCUCCAACUGGAGCAUCAAGCAAAGGCAUCAUGCCUGAAGCCUUCACCACAUCUGUAACAGACUUCUUAAAACACGUGACCACAGAUGUGUCUGAAUGGAGUUCCUAUGUGGGCUGUGAGCCCAUGGGAUUGUUUUGGAGCCUGCACCUGGAGAGAGAGGGUCUGAAGUUGGAACAGGAAAUAAAACUAACAAAGCAUGUGAAGCUAUGGUCACAUUGAAAAAUUAUUCAGAGACAAACGCUAUUGUUCAACGAAGUCAAUAUAAAGAUUUUUAAAAGGGAUUGUAUAACAACAUGAUAAAACUAUGUAUAUAUUGGGUGAUUCCUCACAAAGCUAGAAUUUAAAAAAAUACCAUGAUUUGGGGAAUUUCAUUGAAAUAUAAUCCAUAAAAUGGUCAUUUUGAAGAUGGAAUGUUGACAUAUACAGUUGAAGUCGGAAGUUUACAUUACACUUAAGUUGGAGUCAUUAAAACUCGUUUUUCAACCACUCCACAAAUUUCUUGUUAACAAACUAUAGUUUUGCCAAGUCAAUUAGGACAUCUACUUUGUGCAUGACAAAAGUAAUUUUUCCAACAAUUGUUUACAGACAGAUUAUUUCCCUUACAAUUCACUGUAUCACAAUUCCAGUGGGUCAGAAGUUUACAUAAACUAAUUUGACUGUGCCUUUCAACAGUUUAAACAUUUCCUGAAUAUUAUGUCAUGGGUUUAGAAACUUCUGAUAGGCUAAUUGACAUUUGAGUCAAUUGGAGGUGUAUCUGUGGAUAUAUUUCAAGGUCUACCUUCAAACCCAGUGCCUCUUUGCUUGACAUCAUGGGGAAAUCCAAGGAAUUUCCAAAUGCCUGAAUGUACCACGUUUGUCUGUACAAACAAUAGUACGUAAGUAUAAACACCAUGGGACCAAGCAGCCGUCAUACUGCUCAGGAAGGAGACGCGUUCUGUCUCCUAGAGAUGAACGUACUUUGGUGCAAAAAGUGUAACUCAAUCCCAGAACAACAGCAAAGGACCUUGUGAAGAUGCUGGAGUAAACAGGUAUAAAAGUAUCUGUAUCCACAGAAAAACGAGUCCUAUAUAGACAUAACCUGAAAGGCAGCUCAGCAAGGAAGAGGCCACUGCUCCAAAACCUACAAUUUGCAACUGCACAUGGGGACAAAGAUCGUACUUUUUGGAGAAAUGGCCUCUGGUCUAAUGAAACAAAAAUAGAGAACUAUUUAGCUGUAGAAUAGAAGUGUUUGGCCAUAAUGAUCAUCGUUAUGUUUGGAGGAAAAAGGUUGAUGCUUGCAAGCCGAAGAACACCAUCCCAACCGUGAAGCAUGGGGAUGGCAGCAUCAUGUUGUGGGGGUGCUUUGCUGCAGGAGGGACUGGUGCACUUCACAAAAUAGAUGGCAUCAUGAGGAAAUGAAAAUUACGUGGCUAUAUUGACGCAACAUCUCAAGACAGUCAGGAAAUUAAAGCUUGGUCGCAAAUGGGUCUUCCAAUGGACAAUGACCCCAAGCAUACAUCCAAAGUUGUGGCAAAAUGGCUUAAGGAUGACAAAGUCAAGGUAUUGGAGUGGCCAUCACAAAGCCCUGACCUCAAUCCUAUAGAAAAUGUGUGGGCAUAACUGAAAAAGUGUGUGUGAGCAAGGAGGCCCACAAACAUGACUCAGUUACACCUGCUCUGUCAGGAGGAAUGGGCCAAAAUUCACCCAACUUAUUGUGGGAAGCAUCUGGAAGGUGACCCAAAACGUUUGACCCAAGUUAAACAAUUUAAAGGCAGUGCUACCAACUACUAAUUGAGUGUAUGUAAACUUCUGACCCACUGGGAAUGUGAUGAAAGAAAAUAAAGCUGAAAAAAAGAAUUCUCUCUACUAUUAUUCUGACAUUUCACAUUCUUAAAAUACAGUGGUGAUCCUAACUGACCUAAAACAGGGAAUUUUUACUAGGAUUAAAUGUCAGGAAUUGUGAAAACUGUCUUUAAAUAUAUUUAGGUAGGGUGCAUGUAAACUUCUGACUUCAACUGUAAUUAACAUUUGUAUCUUAGAGGAUAAUUGAGAAAUAAUUAGUUGAAGUCAGAAUAUUUGUUUAUUUUUUUUGGCCUUUCUGUAGGCGCUACAAAGCAAAAGUUGGUGUCACAUGAAGUUUUACCGCUUGCUCUGUAAUAUGAGUAGUAUUUUAAUAUCAAUAAGACAUAUUAUAUAUUAUUUAUGAAUAUAGAAAAAGAUAAACAUGAAUAUUGAAAAUAUAACAUUUUAGAUUUGGCAAAUUAUUCUUUGCUAGUUUUAAAGUUAUGGCCCAUUUUUACAUUCACUCUGUUGGUAAUGUUUACAAAUUGGAUCAUACAGUAACUCUAAUAGUAGCAGAGAUCCCAAUCUGAAACUUUGAUAUGCCCGCAGAGUAUAUUAUGUUCAACAAUAUAUUGAAAAAAUUGCCAAAAAAUAUAUAUUUCUAUAUUAAUUAACGUAUAUCAAUGAGAGGAUGACAAUGUAAUUCAUUUUUCCAGGUUAUUUCCCAUGUUGUCAUGUUAUGUAUUUUUUUUCUCCUAGCGAUCACUCUCUGGGGAGGGCACCUGGCACCCCACGCUGCCGCCCAAGAAGAUACCUGGAUGAUGUACCAUUCUAACACAAAGUGGUCAUUUCAUGUCUCUCCACAAUGCAAGACCAAAACUCAAAAUCGUUAAUGUACUGUAAUUUCACAACACAUAUUGUUAGGUAGGCAUCUAUGUAUUGUCAUUGAUUUGUAAAAUGUUUAUAUAUACAACUAUUAUACCAUAAGAAAUUCAAUGGCAUGUAAACAAAGUAGCUUCAUCAUUUCAUCUUGUGAGAGGGUUACACU